UGGUGUUUGGGUUGUCGCUGCCGGCCGGCUCUGUGCUCGUCCACAGAACUGUCGGCAGGCAACCCCCGGUUUGGAGUGAGGCCCUAUCGUGGCCCGACGGGUGGUUCUUGCGUUGCCUACCCGCCAAGGGGAAGCGGAUCGCCCGACGCUUGGCCUCCAUCCUGCGCCUUCGGAUGGGCGCAGGAGGACGACGACGCGCCCCCCGUGUUCCAGCGAGCCGUGAUCGGUCGCGUGGCCCACGGGGACGUGCGAUGCUCUCGGACCCAGUGUAUGCCGCGGGGGAGGGGCUCACGUCCCAACUCCCAGCAGAAAGCUUCGAUCCCACGUACGACGGCCGCGCCCGCCCCUUUGCCCGCGUCGCGGCGCGGGGGCGUCGCGCGACGUCCCGAAGGAAUGCUACCUGGUUGAUCCUGCCAGUAGUCAUAUGCUUGUCU
rnacentral:misc_RNA from 1 species